UGAGGAAUAUUGCACAAUGGGCGCAAGCCUGAUGCAGCGACGCCGCGUGGGUGAUGAAGGUCUUCGGAUCGUAAAGCCCUUUUUCUGCGUGACGAGACAGGACGGUAGCGCAGGAAUAAGUCUCGGCUAACUACGUGCCAGCAGCCGCGGUAAAACGUAGGAGACGAACGUUAUCCGGAGUUACUGGGCGUAAAGGGCGUGUAGGCGGUUUGUUAAGUCUGGCGUGAAAGCUCUCGGCUAAACCGGGAGAGGUCGUUGGAUACUGGCGAACUAGAGGAUGGUGGAGGCGUGUGGAAUUCCGGGUGUAGUGGUGAAAUGCGUAGAGAUCCGGAGGAACACCAGUGGCGAAGGCGACACGCUGGGCCAUACCUGACGCUAAAGCGCGACAGCAUGGGGAGCAAACAGGAUUAGAUACCCCCGUAGUCCCUGAGCGGGCUGGCAAGGCGCAU
rnacentral:rRNA from 1 species